UACGGGGGGGGCAAGCGUUGUUCGGAAUUACUGGGCGUAAAGGGCUCGUAGGCGGCCAACUAAGUCAGACGUGAAAUCCCCAGGCUCAACCUGGGAACUGCGUCUGAUACUGGAUGGCUUGAAUCCGGGAGAGGGAUGCAGAAUUCCAGGUGUAGCGGUGAAAUGCGUAGAUAUCUGGAGGAAUACCGGUGGCGAAGGCAGCAUCCUGGACCGGCAUUGACGCUGAGGAGCGAGAGCCAGGGGAGCAAACGGG
rnacentral:rRNA from 1 species